rnacentral:rRNA from 1 species
UAGGGAAUUUUCGGCAAUGGGCGCAAGCCUGACCGAGCAACGCCGCGUGAGGGAAGAAGGUCUUCGGAUCGUAAACCUUUGUCUUUGGGGAAGAGAGAGGACGGUACCCAAGGAGGAAGCCACGGCUAACUACGUGCCAGCAGCCGCGGUAAUACGUAGGUGGCAAGCGUUGUCCGGAAUUACUGGGCGUAAAGGGCGUGUAGGCGGCCUUUUAAGUCAGGCGUGAAAACUCCAAGCUUAACUUGGAGACUGCGUUUGAGACUGAGAGGCUUGAGGAUCGGAGAGGGCAGUGGAAUUCCCAGCGUAGCGGUGAAAUGCGUAGAUAUUGGGAAGAACACCAGUGGCGAAGGCGGCUGCCUGGACGACACCUGACGCUGAGGCGCGAAAGCCAGGGGAGCAAACGGGAUUAGAUACCCCGGUAGUCCUGGCUGUAAACGAUGGGUACUAGGUGUGGGAGGUAUCGACCCCUUCCGUGCCGGAGUUAACACAAUAAGUACCCCGCCUGGGGAGUACGGCCGCAAGGUUGAAACUCAAAGG